GCAAGUCGAACGGCAGCACAGUAAGAGCUUGCUCUUAUGGGUGGCGAGUGGCGGACGGGUGAGGAAUACAUCGGAAUCUACUCUUUCGUGGGGGAUAACGUAGGGAAACUUACGCUAAUACCGCAUACGACCUACGGGUGAAAGCGGAGGACCUUCGGGCUUCGCGCGAUUGAAUGAGCCGAUGUCGGAUUAGCUAGUUGGCGGGGUAAAGGCCCACCAAGGCGACGAUCCGUAGCUGGUCUGAGAGGAUGAUCAGCCACACUGGAACUGAGACACGGUCCAGACUCCUACGGGAGGCAGCAGUGGGGAAUAUUGGACAAUGGGCGCAAGCCUGAUCCAGCCAUGCCGCGUGGGUGAAGAAGGCCUUCGGGUUGUAAAGCCCUUUUGUUGGGAAAGAAAAGCAGUCGGUUAAUACCCGAUUGUUCUGACGGUACCCAAAGAAUAAGCACCGGCUAACUUCGUGCCAGCAGCCGCGGUAAUACGAAGGGUGCAAGCGUUACUCGGAAUUACUAGGCGUAAAGCGUGCGUAGGUGGUGGUUUAAGUCUGUUGUGAAAGCCCUGGGCUCAACCUGGGAAUUGCAGUGGAUACUGGGUCACUAGAGUGUGGUAGAGGGUAGCGGAAUUCCCGGUGUAGCAGUGAAAUGCGUAGAGAUCGGGAGGACAUCCGUGGCGAAGGCGGCUACCUGGACCAA
rnacentral:rRNA from 1 species